UUGGAGUAUUUUUUCCUAUUUUCUCCAGGUGCUGCUUGUUUCUUUGUGAAACAUGUGCAGACAGGGAUGUGUAUUUAUGUCACAAGUGUACUACAGACUAACGCGGAUUGGGGAACCUUAUCUUAUGUGGAACUUUCCAACAACUGUCUGGAUCCAGCUGCUCAGUCUCGGUUUCUUAAUAAUAGUGCGAUGUUCAAUUUGGAUAAAAAGAAUUGUUUCGAGGGAACAUUUAGGAGUGGUACUAAGUUUGCUAUGUUGUAUUUGCUCGUUGCUACAAAACCUUCAGAUAAUUGUCGUGAUCGGGACCAUGCUAUAACCCAGACCUCUUGGGGAGGUUUAUCUGUAUAUGAAGUACCUAAUAAAGGGACGCGGUGUGCAGUCCCUGAAACCAACAUCAAAUUGACAAAUUGUAACGAGGCAGAGGAUAAACGUUUUAAUUUUGGUAAGUUUCUCGGCUACAUUUUUUCUGUCUGAACUGCAGCCGUCAGAGAUAAAAGCGAAAGUUAAUCAAGGCUUAGGCUAUGUGCACACCAGGCGGAUCUAAGCCUAUGUGCACAGUGACACGGGCGUCGUUUUCAAAAACGUUUUUAUCGUUUUGACGCCCUAUUUACACCGUCAAAAAGAAAAUAUCUCCAAUAUAUUAAAUAAACUACAACGUCUGUCGUAAAUUGAAAGUG
rnacentral:lncRNA from 1 species